rnacentral:rRNA from 1 species
AUGAGAGACCACAAAUACAAAAACAAACACAAGCACAAGCACACAACCCACCGGCGUGAAGGUGAAGAGCAAGGAGGAGCCCCGGGCACAAUGGUGGAGAGCCGCAGCACCAUCGCCUUCUUCGGGACCUCCAGGCCACCGGUGGCGCUGGACCUCUUCUCGUGCCCAGUGAACCCGCCGCCAUCGUCUGCGCGGGACGAGCAGCGCCUCACCGACGGCGUGUCGUACAACCACAACGGCCGGGCAAUCCCCGCGCCGGCGCUCAAGGAGCUCCUGUCCUUCCUGGCCAAGAAGGACACCGCGCUGGCCCUGGCCGGCGGCACCACUCCGGAGGACGUGGACAAGGGCGGUGUCACCGCCCUCGUCUUCAUCUCCGGGAGGGACAACGGCCUGGAGACGCUCCAUGUGGCCCUGCGCGCCGCAGACAACAAGAACACGGUGCUGUCGCUGGCCGACGUCUACGGCGCCGGCACCUUCGGCGGGGUCCGAAUGGAGGACAGUGGCUGCCUGGCCGGCGGCUUCGAGGCGGGCGGCCUCACCGUCGGGCACUCGCUGGUGUACGUGUCCACCAAGGGGCCGGCGGCAGCACGGCGCACUCCGUGUCCGUGGACCGUGGUGUACAAGACCAACCUUGCCGACGGCAGGACGGAGCGCCUCACUCCGCCGGAUCAAUACGACCUGAACCCGGCCGUGUCGCCGUCCGGGCAGAGGGUGGCGGUGGCCAACUUCCGGUCCGGCGAGGUCGGCCGCCUGAAGACCGAUAUUGUGGUGAUGAACGUGGACCGGGAGGCGCAGGGCGGGCUUGGGCGCAGCAUCCUCAUCAAGGACGGCGGGUGGCCGACGUGGGGCAGCGACAACGUCAUCUUCUUCCACCGAGGGGUGGACACCAAGGAUAAUACCGACUGGGGCGUGUACCGGUACGACCUCACCACCAAGGAAACCGUCAAGGUGACCCCUGAUAACAUCCAGGCCAUGACUCCGGCGGCCAUCGACGAGACGACGGUGGCCGUGGCCGUCACCCGGGAGACCUCCGUGGACCGCACAAGGAAGGAGCAGUACCGCCACAUCGAGAUCUUUGAGGUCGGCAAGCCUGCCAGCCCGGUGGUGAUCACCCAUCGCACGACGCCGUUGGCUGACCACUACAACCCGUUCGUGCUCGACGGCGGCAGCCGCGUGGGUUUCCACCGCUGCAGAACCGACGAUGACAAGGUGAAUACUACCGCUGAUCCCAAGAAGAAGCAUAAGGACGGCGGGCUGGCCGGCGUGUUCCCAAGCAUCAGCAAUGACGGCUCCAAGAUCUGCUACGUGGACAACGAGUUCAGAUCCGUGUGGGUCGCCGACGAAAAGGGGCCGCGACCAGUCCAUUCGGUGAGGAACAAGAUCAGAGUCUUGUCCACUACGUGGAACCAAGACAUGAGCAAGGACACCAUCUACUUCUGCGAGGGCACGGCCGACCACCUGCAGAUCUGUGCCCUCGAAGGCGCCUCCGAGCUCCGGCCCAAUGACCGGAACAUGAGGCGCCUCACCAAGGGCAAGUUCAACGACGCCUUCCCCUCAAGCAACCCGGCCGGGACCAAGUUUGUGUUCCGGUCGACGCGCGACAGAUCCGGUAGGCCGGAGUACGGCAAGUACAACAACCUCUACAUCAUGGAGGACGCAGAGGAAGGGGAGUGGGGCGAAGGCACGGUGACGCAGCUCACCGACGGGCCCUGGACCGACAGCCAUUGCAGCUGGUCGCCCAGGGGUGAUUGGGUCGUCUUCUCCUCCUCUCGUGAUAGAGACAUCGUCGACGACACUAACUGCUUCUCCAUCUUCCUCGUCCUAGCCACCGACCCCAAGGUGCUGGUGCGGGUCAUGUCCCUGGCAGGCCACGUUUGUCACCCCGUCUUCAGCCCGGACAUGGACAACAUCGUCGUCACCUCCGACUUCGCUGUAGUCUCCGCCGACCCGGUGUCUCUGCCCAUCUUCAUUGCCUCCGUUAGGCCCUAUGGUGACAUGUUCUCCAUUAAACUCCGUGACACAGCAGACAUCAACAAGAACAAGGACAUCGUGGAGUUCCACCGCAUCACACACACCUGCUACGAGUACUCCAAGCCUACAUGGACCAUCUAUUUUGGUGACGAGCCCAACGACAAGUGGCCAACCAAUAGCGGUGCGGCUACGGGCCCCUACGCACCGCCUCUUUCAAUGCAUUGGUGCUUAGGUGAGGUGCUAAGUGCACUACAAGUCUUAGCAACUAAUCUCCCUAAUGCAUAG